rnacentral:rRNA from 1 species
GACGAACGCUGGCGGCGUGCUUAACACAUGCAAGUCGAACGGUGAAGCGCCUUCCUUUUUGGUGGGUGUGGAUGAGUGGCGAACGGGUGAGUAACACGUGAGUAACCUGCCCCCUUCUUCUGGAUAACCGCAUGAAAGUGUGGCUAAUACGGGAUAUUCUGGGUCUGUCGCAUGAUGGGUCUGGGAAAGAUAUUGUUUCGGUGGGGGAUGGGCUCGCGGCCUAUCAGCUUGUUGGUGGGGUGAUGGCCUACCAAGGCGGUGACGGGUAGCCGGCCUGAGAGGGUGGACGGUCACACUGGGACGGAGACACGGCCCAGACUCCUACGGGAGGCAGCAGUGGGGAAUAUUGCACAAUGGGCGCAAGCCUGAUGCAGCGACGCCGCGUGAGGGAUGGAGGCCGUCGGGUUGUGAACCUCUUUCGCCAGUGAAGCAGGCCUGCCUCGUUUGUGGGUGGGUUGACGGUAGCUGGAUAAGAAGCGCCGGCUAACUACGUG